ACUCCAAUGAACAUAUUUUUGGACUGGAUGCGAUUACCUGCAAAACCCAUCAUUGGAGUGGCUUGUGAGCACGCUGGUGUUUCAGAAGACAAGAUGACCAAGUGAACUUCUUUCCACACUCAGAGAAGGUGAAGGUGAACGGUCGCUCCCCAGUGUGAAUUCGCUUGUGUGACAUCAGGCUGGAUGACUGCAUGAAUCCCUUCCCACACAGGGAGCAGGCACUUUGCAGGCAAGUGUUGCUGUUAUAAGACCAAAUCGGUAUGUCAAAUCAUAACACAGGAUUUGCCAACAGGAAUGGAGCUACAUCCCUCAUGGCUUCUUAAACACAGCAGGAAGAAAAGAAUGAUGAUUGAAAGAAAAACAAUGGUGAAUAAAUAGGAGCCCCUAAUGGAGCACAGACAGAGUUUGCUAUCCUGUUCUGUUGAACGAAACAGACCGUUUUAUGCUAUCUCACAUGCAUCCUGCAAACAUUUAGCUUCAAGUUUCAGUGGUCUUCAAAAGCUGCUGUAGCACCAAGAAGACAAAUUUCAGAAACUUUACUAAAGGAGCAACUAUUCUACUUGACACAUCUUUAGAAAGAAAAAAAUGUUGUUCUUCUAUGUCCUGGAAUGAUUGAGAAAUGUAGCUAGCCUCUGGUGUACAUACAGAUGAAGAGAA